GUGGGGUAGGCCUGGGAAAUAAUGUCUGAUGUGAAAGCCCUCACCGAGGAACUGCAUCGGAAACUGUUUUUCUUGAGUGCAGAAGAGGAGAGUGGAACUCCAUGUGUAGCGGUGGAAUGCGUAGAUAUAUGGAAGAACACCAGUGGCGAAGGCGGCUCUCUGGUCUGCAACUGACGCUGAGGCUCGAAAGCAUGGGUAGCGAACAGGAUUAGAUACCCUGGUAGUCCAUGCCGUAAACGAUGAGUGCUAAGUGUUGGGAGGUUUCCGCCUCUCAGUGCUGCAGCUAACGCAUUAAGCACUCCGCCUGGGGAGUACGACCGCAAGGUUGAAACUCAAAGGAAUUGACGGGGGCCCGCACAAGCGGUGGAGCAUGUGGUUUAAUUCGAAGCAACGCGAAGAACCUUACCAGGUCUUGACAUCUAGUGCAAUCCGUAGAGAUACGGAGUUCCCUUCGGGGACACUAAGACAGGUGGUGCAUGGCUGUCGUCAGCUCGUGUCGUGAGAUGUUGGGUUAAGUCCCGCAACGAGCGCAACCCUUGUCAUUAGUUGCCAGCAUUAAGUUGGGCACUCUAAUGAGACUGCCGGUGACAAACCGGAGGAAGGUGGGGAUGACGUCAAGUCAUCAUGCCCCUUAUGACCUGGGCUACACACGUGCUACAAUGGACAGUACAACGAGGAGCAAGCCUGCGAAGGCAAGCGAAUCUCUUAAAGCUGUUCUCAGUUCGGACUGCAGUCUGCAACUCGACUGCACGAAGCUGGAAUCGCUAGUAAUCGCGGAUCAGCACGCCGCGGUGAAUACGUUCCCGGGCCUUGUACACACCGCCCGUCACACCAUGGGAGUCUGCAAUGCCCAAAGUGGCCUAACCUUCGGGAAGACCGUCUAAGAGGGCAGAUGACUGGGGUGAAGUCGUAAGGACCCGUA
rnacentral:rRNA from 1 species